rnacentral:rRNA from 1 species
CAGCCGCCACGGGAAUACCGAGGGUGCAAGCGUUAAUCGGAAUUACUGGGCGUAAAGCGCGCGUAGGUGGUUUGUUAAGUUGGAUGUGAAAGCCCCGGGCUCAACCUGGGAACUGCAUCCAAAACUGGCAAGCUAGAGUACGGUAGAGGGUGGUGGAAUUUCCUGUGUAGCGGUGAAAUGCGUAGAUAUAGGAAGGAACACCAGUGGCGAAGGCGACCACCUGGACUGAUACUGACACUGAGGUGCGAAAGCGUGGGGAGCAAACAGGAUUAGAUACCCGAGUAGUCCCUGUCUCUUAUAC